rnacentral:rRNA from 1 species
UACGAAGGGGGCUAGCGUUGUUCGGAAUUACUGGGCGUAAAGGGCGCGUAGGCGGUGUGUCAAGUCAGGCGUGAAAGCCCCGGGCUCAACCUGGGAACCGCGCUUGAGACUGGCACGCUCGAGUUCGGGAGAGGAUGGUGGAAUUCCCAGUGUAGAGGUGAAAUGCGUAGAGAUCCGGAGGAACCCCAGAGGCGAAGGCGGCGUCCUGGCUCGCAACUGACGCUCAGACACGACAGCAUGGGGAGCGAACGGG